GACGGAGGAUGCAAGCGUUAUCCGGAAUUAUUGGGCGUAAAGCGUCCGCAGGUGGACAUACAAGUCUGCUGUCAAAGUGCAGAGCUUAACUCUGUAAAGGCGGUGGAAACUGUAGGUCUUGAGUAUGGUAGGGGUAGAGGGAAUUCCCGGUGUAGCGGUGAAAUGCGUAGAUAUCGGGAAGAACACCAGUGGCGAAAGCGCUCUACUGGGCCAUAACUGACACUGAGGGACGAAAGCUAGGAGAGCGAAAGGG
rnacentral:rRNA from 1 species